GACUGAAAAAGUGCAUUGCAUUGCUGUGGAGUCCUGGGCACAAUAAAUAAUGGGCUUCAGCAAUGAGGCACCAUCUUGAAAGCAGAGAGCAGUCCUUACCAGACAAAUGCCAGUUCCUUGAUCUUGGACAACUCAGCCUCUAAAAUGAGCCCAGCUGCCAUGAAACCUCACAUUUGACUCUCCAGCCCAGCUACCCUGUGUCAGGCCACCUCGGGACCACCUUUUCUGCUCCACUGGGUACCAAGACUCUCCCCCUUUCACAGCACCCCAAGCUCCCUCCUGCCAGGGGAGCCAGCCCCACAAGUGGGCCUGGGCAAGACAUGUGAGAUCUUCAGGACAGGUGAGUAGGGUUGACUGUGGGAGCAAGGGCACCCACUACCACAGUGGCCUGGGGGAAAAAAAAAAAAAAAACAAGGAAAUCCUGGGUCAGAGGCUGCAGCUUGUACUUUUUUAGAUGCAGACUCAAUAUCCUAUUAAACUUGGAUGAUGGGGGUGAGGGGUUGCAAGACAGAAAACCCUCAGGCUGACAUGCCAUCACCCCCAGUUUAUCAUAAUCCUUUUCUGUGGCUACCUUCAAUACCCUAGAUUCCCCUACUCCAAUAUCCUAGAGUUCUAAACCUUUCUUAGAGGAUCAACUUAUUGAAAUGUAUAAAUAUAUACCAAAUUACACCCAAUGGAGGAUAUGAUGUUCAAUUCCCAACCUCCAGGGCUGCCUAAUCCUGAGGACCUACACACACACACACACACACACACAC